rnacentral:rRNA from 1 species
GAUGAACGCUGGCGGCGUGCCUAAUACAUGCAAGUCGAGCGAAUGGAUUAAGAGCUUGCUCUUAUGAAGUUAGCGGCGGACGGGUGAGUAACACGUGGGUAACCUGCCCAUAAGACUGGGAUAACUCCGGGAAACCGGGGCUAAUACCGGAUAACAUUUUGAACCGCAUGGUUCGAAAUUGAAAGGCGGCUUCGGCUGUCACUUGUGGAUGGACCCGCGUCGCAUUAGCGAGUUGGUGAGGUAACGGCUCACCAAGGCAACGAUGGGUAGCCGAUCUGAGAGGGUGAUCGGCCACACUGGGACUGAGACACGGCCCAGACUCCUACGGGAGGCAGCAGUAGGGAAUCUUCCGCAAUGGGCGAAAGUCUGACGGAGCAACGCCGCGUGAGUGAUGAAGGCUUUCGGGUCGUAAAACUCUGUUGUUAGGGAAGAACAAGUGCUAGUUGAAUAAGCUGGCACCUUGACGGUACCUAACCAGAAAGCCACGGCUAACUACGUGCCAGCCGCCGCGGUAC